ensembl:lncRNA
UCAACUGGGGAUACAGGCACAGAAUGACUCCUUUCACUUCGGAAAAGAGGUCUCGCUGGGCAGAUGCUCUCUGGCCAGAAGACAAGCCUCCUGUUGAGUUAAAGGACAUGAAAUCUUCAAGACACGCAAAAAUAUUUCCAUUCACAAGUUACCUCCUGAUAAUGAAAUAACGGCCUAACAAUGAUCCACCUCCAUUUUGGAAAUCCAAAGAUGAGUCAAAAUGAGUCACAGGUUCUUCUAUCAACAAACUGAAUUUAGUGUAUCCUUGAACCCUCCAGUGGUUUGAAUGUUUUUUGGUCAAAUGUCUGUGUAAAGGUAGUUCUGUGUUUCAGUAACAACCUUCCUGUCCAUCCACUGUUACUGGCUUGUGGUUUCUGAUGCUUCGUGAUUUUCAUAUUAAAAAAGAAAAUGUUACUGUGGAGAUGGGCUGUAUCUCAGUGAACAGAAGUUCUUUUCCAGAAGUUUUAUGAUCUCUGGACCAAUCUCAUGACCCGCUGUGUUCUGCCUCUUGACUUCUUACUGUUUGGCGUUCUGAGCAUUCCCCAGUCUCUUUGCAGCGCGUGAGCAGGUAGCCCAGCACCACCAAAGUUAGAGUUCCAACUCUGGAAAGAUUCGGGAUUUUUCUGUAAGGAUGGGAUGGUGAUUCAUUCAGAGCUCUCACAAGACUAUCAUGCAGCUGCCCCUGUUUCAAAAUCAGCAGCCGCGCCAGCUCGUCUCCAUCAGCCUUGAGAAAACAGGAAACACAACGGUCACCACAGGAAGUGGUGUGCUCUUACACACACCCCAGAAAACUUAGCUGCUGAACCUAUUGCAAAAUGUUAACAGAACACUGUAGGGUACACAGAGAAAGAGACGAGAAAUCUGCUGACUUCUGGGUGCCUGCAAUUCUAAUCUUCAGUUUCUGAGGCCUAGAGUUUAACUCAGUCAUCAACAUGUCCUGUGUUUUUCAGUUACAGCAGCUUCAAUCCCCUUCAGUAGGACGCUGUUAUCGGAACAAAUAUUUCUUCUCAGUUAUUUUGUUUCGUCCCCAAAACUUGUACAGAAGGGCAGCCAGUAGCUUCUUGUCUGUAGGGCUGACAGGCAAAGAUAGAUAGAAAUAGAAAAGAUGGAGACGACUAUGUUUUAUUCAUCAUGAUUAACUGUGUACUCAUUUCCUUGGUAACGUGGAAGAAAUUGGUGUUUUUAGGGUGGAGAUAUGUAUGCAGACCUUGUGAUUCAGAUGUUUUUCUUAUUAAGUAAGAUAACUUGUUUCUCACUGUCUUGGUUGCAAAGAAAAGGCUGAACCAUAACAUUGCAGAGAAUAGAAGUACCCUAUGUAUGUUAAGGAGGAAUUGCUCUGAGUUGGAAGCACCAUUCCUUGAGGGUGCUGUGGGACAUGGACAUGACUGAAAGAGAAGAACAGGGUAUUCCACACAAGAGGCAGAAGAAAUGAGAGAUACAAUACACAAAAAAGACUUGCAGUUUGAGGUUUUCUAUUGUGCUUGGUUACAACAAAUGAUCUUAAAAAUUUCUUCUCCAAAUUCAAAGGGGAACAAAUCCUCAUUAAGUGCUGGUUGCUGGGCAAGUAAAAUUUUAGUAGGGGCCUUCAAAUUAAAUACAUUUGUAUUUAAUUAGUAUUUAAGAAUUUAAAUAAUUUAAUUUGUAUUUAAGAAGCUGUAAAAGAAGUGCAAUAAUACAUGGCAGGAGAGGAUCAGAAAUGGAAGGUGAUGCUAGGCAUUAUUUUUCUGCUAGAUGUUCCUUUUGUCCAGUAAAUGGGCAGUUUGGGACUUUGUCCUGGAAAUAAAUUAUUUGCAAAUUCUUGUUAAGUUCUCUGAAUUAUUUAGGUUGAGCAGUAGAGGCUGUUGAAAGCUGGGUUAUUUGUUUGUUUGUUUGUUUGUUUGUUUCAAAAUUUGAAGUGAAAAAGUUUUUAACUUUUACUUGAAAGUAACGUUUCAUUCAACUAUUCAACUAUUUUGAAUUGUGAAAAUGAUUUAGGGUGAAGGUGAAUUAUCUACCCUUCCUGGUUUGGUUUUUUGUUUGUUUGUUUUAAAAAUUCUUAAAAAAUAAAAAUCAGCCAGUAACAGUCAAAUUAUUCCCCCAGCUCUAACCAAAGAGAAAUAGAAAGUUCAGAUUCCUGAAAUCUGGUCUUCACAAGUACAAAAAACAAGGAAUAUUAAUAGCUAUAUUGAAAGAGUGCUAAAAGUCCUACAGAGAAAGUGAAUAAAAGUAUGAAGACAGUGUCAUCAGAACAUUAGAGGAAUCUUUCUCGGAAGUUAGCUUGGAUUUACUCAAACAGCAAAAUUACAUGCAAUAUCUUUAAGCAAUCUUGUUUGGACGUGAAUUACAGACAGAUAAGACAGGCAGCAAGGAUUAAUGCUAUGUCCAUCUCUUUGGCUGUUAGUGUAAUGUCCUAAGUAUCUGCAUUGUCUGCCUUGUUUCAAGUGGUCUUAUUCUAUGAUAAUGGAAAUACAGUUCUACCAAAAAUAAACUGAAUAUUUUACUG